rnacentral:rRNA from 1 species
UUCCUACGGGACGCAGCAGUGGGGGAUAUUGCACAAUGGGGGAAACCCUGAUGCAGCGACACCGCGUGGGUGAAGAAGCGCUUCGGCGUGUAAAGCCCUAUCAGUGGGGAAGAAAAAGGACGGUACCCAAAGAAGAAGCACCGGCUAAAUACGUGCCAGCAGCCGCGGUAAUACGUAGGGGGCAAGCGUUAUCCGGAUUUACUGGGUGUAAAGGGAGCGUAGACGGCAAUACAAGUCGGAAGUGAAAUACCCGGGCUCAACCUGGGAACUGCUUUGGAAACUGUAUGGCUGGAGUGCUGGAGAGG